rnacentral:rRNA from 1 species
UACGUAGGGUGCAAGCGUUGUCCGGAAUUAUUGGGCGUAAAGCGCGCGUAGGCGGCCACUUAAGUCGGAUGUGAAAGCCCCUGGCUCAACUGGGGAAGUGCACCCGAAACUGAAUGGCUUGAAUGCAAAAGAGGGUCGCGGAAUUCCCGGUGUAGAGGUGAAAUUCGUAGAUAUCGGGAGGAACACCGGUGGCGAAGGCGGCGACCUGGGUUGACAUUGACGCUGAGGCGCGAAAGCGUGGGGAGCAAACAGG